rnacentral:rRNA from 1 species
UGGGGAAUCUUGCACAAUGGACGAAAGUCUGAUGCAGCAACGCCGCGUGGGGGAUGAAGCUUUUCGGAGUGUAAACCCCUUUCGACCCGGAAGAAUGCCCGCAAGGGUUUGACGGUACGGGUAUAAGAAGCCCCGGCUAACUACGUGCCAGCAGCCACGGUAAUACGUAGGGGGCCAGCGUUGCUCGGAAUUACUGGGCGUAAAGGGUCCGUAGGCGGUGUGGCAAGUCGGGAGUGAAAUCUCUGGGCUUAACCCAGAGGCUGCUUCCGAAACUGCCAUGCUAGAGUGUGAGAGAGGCGAGUGGAAUUACGGGUGUAGCGGUGAAAUGCGUAGAUAUCCGUAGGAACAUCCGAGGCGAAGGCGGCUCGCUGGAUCACAACUGACGCUGAGGGACGAAAGCUAGGGGAGCAAACAGGAUUAGAUACCCUGGUAGUCCUAGCCCUAAACCAUCAGGACUUGGGGUGUGCCCUGUACGGGGCACGUCCCGUAGCUAACGCGUUAAGUCCUGCGCCUGGGGAGUACGGUCGCAAGGCUG